rnacentral:rRNA from 1 species
AGAGUUUGAUCCUGGCUCAGGAUGAACGCUGGCGGCGUGCCUAAUACAUGCAAGUCGAACGAGGUGCCUUUGUAGCAAUACGAAGGUAUCCUAGUGGCGAACGGGUGAGUAACGCGUUGGUGACCUACCCCAAAGUGUGGGAUAACAGAUCGAAAGAUCUGCUAAUACCGCAUGUGGUCUUCGGAUUUAGAAACUGAUGACUAAAGGAGCAAUUCGCUUUGGGAGGGACCUGCGUCCCAUCAGCUAGUUGGUGAGGUAAUGGCUCACCAAGGCUACGACGGGUAGGGGACCUGAGAGGGUGACCCCCCACAAUGGAACUGAAACACGGUCCAUACACCUACGGGUGGCAGCAGUAGGGAAUAUUGCACAAUGGGCGAAAGCCUGAUGCAGCAACGCCGCGUGUGCGAUGAAGGCCUUCGGGUCGUAAAGCACUUUUCUGAGGGAUGAGCAAGGACAGUACCUCAGGAAUAAGUCUCGGCUAACUACGUG